UAUGCUCCUUCAGGGCCCUGGGUCCACCCUACCGAGGCCUUGGAGAGCUGCCCGAGUCAUCCAUGCCCCUCACGGCCCGGUUAGAGCAGGCCUGUGGAGGUGAGGAAGGCUGAGGGAGGAGGAGGAGGAGGAGGAGUACGGUGAGGAAGAAGAGGGCGCUGGAGCAGGCCUGGGAGGCGAUUCCUGAAGCUGCUCUGGAGCCAUGGGGAGCAAAUCCCAGGGAUGCUCCCUCCGAAGCUCUCCCGGCCCUGUGCAUGCUGGUGGACGGGACAGAGGGGACAGGGUGAGACCCCCUAAACUGGGCACCAGUGGGAAAUGGCUGCAUAACAGCUCGGUAACCAGUCAGCUGCUUCUUGGAAGGAUUUGGUCAUUGUGAGGAAAUUGCAACUGCGGGACAAAUUUGCAGUCAUUUGGCCGCUGAUCGGUGAUCUCAGCUGCUGAUAAGACGUUAGUAGUUAUUUACCACCGGUGAGGAAACUGCUACUGAGCCCUGCAACUCCUUUAUUCGGGAGGUGGGUCUAGACAGCGCGGCGUGGCCCAGCCCGACGGGAGCCCGGCUGCCCGCAGAGCAGAGCCCGCGGCCCUGGACAGGGCAUUUCACACCCCGAGGGGAAGUUCCCUUCCUCGCUGAGGACGUGGAUGCGUUUCUCCUUGCCCUCUUUCAUGGUUGGAGGACAAGUUGCCACUUGAUCAAAUGGGUGCUGGGUGCCUGUGGGAUGGGGAGGGAAGGAUCUGGCUCCACUGACUUUGUCCCUCUGGAAUUCCCUGACGCAGGAGCUGCGGAAGCUGAACGUGGCAACACUCGUCGGGAUGCAAAUGGCAACGGAUAUUAAUGCCCAUGAGAUAAGGGUGGGCAGGGCGGCCUGGGGCCUGCAGCCCCAACACCUCCAGCAUGCAGCCGUCGAUGAGAGCCCCCCAUAAGCCCCUCGGCUGGUUGGGAUGUAUUUGUGCAGGGAGAGGUGGCUCAGGGCACGGACCCUCCAUUGCAGGACCACCUCGGCCCUGGGCUCGGGAGCCCGAGCAGUAGGAAGCCCCUUGUUAGAGCUGCAGCUCCUCCAGCGCUCGCCUGUGUCCCACAACCUGCAGCCUCUGGGCUGGUGCAGAGUCGUCCCCCCCCCGACCCAGACCUCGACCCUUGUGCCCCUGACGCUGAGUGUGGAGAGGGGAUCCCAUGCGAGAGCCCUUUUCUGGGGCUCCAGGUUCCCGCUGCCCCCAGGCAGCCCCGUGCCCUCCCUGCCUUCGGCCCUGGCCUCAAUCCCUCCCCGCAGGGGGCACGAGGGUGCCUGGGCAGAUGCACUCCAGGGGCCGCACACCCUGGGAAUUGGGUUUCUGGACUUGGCCGUCCCCUGCCUGCCCGCUGCCUCUGAGGGAGCUGGCUCUGGUCGGGAGCAAAUUUGAGUCACCCUGGGAAGCCAGCGGCCAGGAGGAUUUUCCCACGGUGCUGCAGAAAGCAGCAAACUGCACCCUCUUCCGAGAGGACUGACGAAGGGGUGACACCUCCCGAAUUAGUAUUGAUUCAUCAUUAGGCAGAGCCCGCUCCCCGAGCAGCCAGGAGGGCGAAGUGGCCAUUCCCGCUCCAGGAAAGCAGAAGGGGAAAAGGGAGGCUUUUGGCCAAGGGUGGUGGAAAAUACCCUGGGCCUGUCAUUGUCCGAGGGGAGGGGGUGGGCUGGGAGGCUCCUCCGGCAGCUCUGAGUCGCGAUCCCAC